ACCCGCUGAACUUAAGCAUAUCAAUAAGCGGAGGAAAAGAAACCAACAGGGAUUGCCCUAGUAACGGCGAGUGAAGCGGCAACAGCUCAAAUUUGAAAUCUGGCGCAAGCCCGAGUUGUAAUUUGUAGAGGAUGCUUCUAGGUAGCGACCGGUCUAAGUUCCUUGGAACAGGACGUCAUAGAGGGUGAGAAUCCCGUAUGUGACUGGCCCGCACCUUCUACGUAGCUCCUUCGACGAGUCGAGUUGUUUGGGAACGCAGCUCUAAAUGGGAGGUAAAUUUCUUCUAAAGCUAAAUACCGGCCAGAGACCGAUAGCGCACAAGUAGAGUGAUCGAAAGAUGAAAAGCACUUUGGAAAGAGAGUUAAAAAGCACGUGAAAUUGUUGAAAGGGAAGCGCUCACAACCAGACUUCUAGGCAGUGUUCCGCCGGUCUUUUGACCGGUCUACUCUCUGUCUCGAGGCCAACAUCAUCUGGGACCGCCGGAUAAGACCUUAGGAAUGUAGCUCCCCUCGGGGAGUGUUAUAGCCUCUGGUGAUGCGGCGCGUCUCGGGUGAGGUCCGCGCUUCGGCAAGGAUGUUGGCGUAAUGGUUGUCAGCGGCCCGUCUUGAAACACGGACCAAGGAGUCUAACAUCUAUGCGAGUGUUCGGGUGUCAAACCCCUACGCGUAAUGAAAGUGAACGGAGGUGGGAAGCGUAAGCUGCACCAUCGACCGAUCCUGAUGUCCUCGGAUGGAUUUGAGUAAGAGCAUAGCUGUUGGGACCCGAAAGAUGGUGAACUAUGCCUGAAUAGGGUGAAGCCAGAGGAAACUCUGGUGGAGGCUCGCAGCGGUUCUGACGUGCAAAUCGAUCGUCAAAUUUGGGUAUAGGGGCGAAAGACUAAUCGAACCAUCUAGUAGCUGGUUCCUGCCGAAGUUUCCCUCA
rnacentral:rRNA from 1 species